CCUCUUCCUGAUGAUGAGGUUAUAUGCUACAUCUUAGCAGGGCUAUGUCCAGAAUAUGACCCUUUGGUCACCUUAGUUACAACACGUAAUGAUCCGAUGAGCCUUAAUGAUUUAUAUGCCUAUUUUUUGAGCUACGAGA